rnacentral:lncRNA from 1 species
AUGUGUCUCAAGAGUGUUAUUUCUGUUCGGGGCCCAUCUACCCUGGCCAUGGCAUGAUGUCUGUCCGCAAUGAUUGCAAGGUGUUCAGAUUUUGUAAAUCUAAAUGUCAUAAAAACUUUAAAAAGAAGCACAAUCCUCACAAAGGUAGGUGGACCAAAGCAUUCUGGAAAACAGCUGGUAAAGGGCUUACAGUGGAUAAUUCAUUUGAAUUGGAAAAACAUAGAAAUGCACUUAUCAAAUAUCAGUGAGAGCUAUGGAAUAAAACUAUUGAUGCAAUGAAGAGAGUUGAAGAGAUCAAACAGAAAUGCCAAGCUAAAUUUAUAAUGAACAGACUGAAGAAACAUAAAGGGCUACGUAGAGAAGUUCAGGAUAUCAAAGAAGUCAAGAAAAACAUCCAUCUU